rnacentral:rRNA from 1 species
UAGGGAAUCUUCCGCAAUGGACGAAAGUCUGACGGAGCAACGCCGCGUGAGCGAAGAAGGUCUUCGGAUCGUAAAGCUCUGUUGUCAGGGAAGAACAAGUACCGUUCGAACAGGGCGGUACCUUGACGGUACCUGACGAGGAAGCCACGGCUAACUACGUGCCAGCAGCCGCGGUAAUACGUAGGUGGCAAGCGUUGUCCGGAAUUAUUGGGCGUAAAGCGCGCGCAGGCGGUCCCUUAAGUCUGAUGUGAAAGCCCACGGCUUAACCGUGGAGGGUCAUUGGAAACUGGGGGACUUGAGUGCAGAAGAGGAGAGCGGAAUUCCACGUGUAGCGGUGAAAUGCGUAGAGAUGUGGAGGAACACCAGUGGCGAAGGCGGCUCUCUGGUCUGUAACUGACGCUGAGGCGCGAAAGCGUGGGGAGCAAACAGG